rnacentral:misc_RNA from 1 species
UCUUCUCAAUCCCUUCGGUUUUGCGAUCGUUGGGCUUGGACGUGGAGGUCUGCUGGCUUUGCGGUCGGCUCCUCUGGAAUGCAUUAGCUGGGCUUUCGCUCGAUGCAACGGUGUAAUACUUUCUUCACCGGUGUACCUUGCGAUAGAGGCUCGCUUCUAAUCGUCGAAAGACACAUUGACUC